rnacentral:rRNA from 1 species
CGCUUCUUUUUCCACCGGAGCUUGCUCCACCGGAAAAAGAAGAGUGGCGAACGGGUGAGUAACACGUGGGUAACCUGCCCAUCAGAAGGGGAUAACACUUGGAAACAGGUGCUAAUACCGUAUAACAAUCGAAACCGCAUGGUUUUGAUUUGAAAGGCGCUUUCGGGUGUCGCUGAUGGAUGGACCCGCGGUGCAUUAGCUAGUUGGUGAGGUAACGGCUCACCAAGGCCACGAUGCAUAGCCGACCUGAGAGGGUGAUCGGCCACAUUGGGACUGAGACACGGCCCAAACUCCUACGGGAGGCAGCAGUAGGGAAUCUUCGGCAAUGGACGAAAGUCUGACCGAGCAACGCCGCGUGAGUGAAGAAGGUUUUCGGAUCGUAAAACUCUGUUGUUAGAGAAGAACAAGGAUGAGAGUAACUGUUCAUCCCUUGACGGUAUCUAACCAGAAAGCCACGGCUAACUACGUGCCAGCAGCCGCGGUAAUACGUAGGUGGCAAGCGUUGUCCGGAUUUAUUGGGCGUAAAGCGAGCGCAGGCGGUUUCUUAAGUCUGAUGUGAAAGCCCCCGGCUCAACCGGGGAGGGUCAUUGGAAACUGGGAGACUUGAGUGCAGAAGAGGAGAGUGGAAUUCCAUGUGUAGCGGUGAAAUGCGUAGAUAUAUGGAGGAACACCAGUGGCGAAGGCGGCUCUCUGGUCUGUAACUGACGCUGAGGCUCGAAAGCGUGGGGAGCAAACAGGAUUAGAUACCCUGGUAGUCCACGCCGUAAACGAUGAGUGCUAAGUGUUGGAGGGUUUCCGCCCUUCAGUGCUGCAGCUAACGCAUUAAGCACUCCGCCUGGGGAGUACGACCGCAAGGUUGAAACUCAAAGGAAUUGACGGGGGCCCGCACAAGC